UCGGCCGACAGGGCACCACCAAUAGGACCUGCUCCUCGUCCGACCGCUUUCGGAAGAAGACCUGGAAAGGACUAGACCACCACCAGGAAGCGCUCAGCAACUUGUGCCUGGGCCACGGGGGGCGGAGGGGAGGGGAGCGGGGGGCCGUGCGCCCCCAACCAGUUAUUUAGAAAGCCUUUACUUAAUAACGUGGCAAGGAAAAUGUGCCAUCUCCUAGACUCCUCUGUACAAAUGCAGACUUAAAUGUGAAACUGAAUAGCAAUUAACACUUCCAUAAUGUUUACUUCCUCCCAAAGAACUUGAAUGGGAAUGGAUGGUGUAAUGUGGGGGUGUUGUCUUGCCAUAACCAUUUAAAUAUAAACUGCUUCAUCCUCUGGUUCCAGACAUGAUCUCACCUAGACUUGGUGUCCCUUUCACAUGCUUCCCCUCUCCUUGUCUUGGCUGUCUGCUAUCUGAAUGGGCUCCCCCCAGCAGAGGGCUCUUAACCAUUUUCACCAUUUCUGUCCCCAGGGCCUGUGCCAUUCCCCAGGAGUCUGUCACCUUACUGCGGCCCCUCCCCUCCUCCCUGCACCCUCCCCUCACUCACAGCUGAAUUUUCUGCUGAGCUGAGGCCCUGGCCCUCCUCUGGGCCCUCUGCCGGGCCCUCUCCAACACUCUGGCAUCAAGGGAGCACCUCCUGACUUUUUCCUGAGAAGACCCUGGAUGGGCUAGUUGUCUUCUUGCCUCUGUGACUUCGCGCUGCAAAGCUGAGAUGUCUAUUUGUCCGUGAAACUGUUGAAACGGUAAAAAGUGUCUUCGGAGAAAUCAAACACUUCUGCUGCCAGAGAGAGGAUUCCGGAUUAGGGUUGUAGCUUCUCCAUAUAAUUAAUGAUAUUCCAAACACUGAGAAGCCAUGUAAUCUGGAAAUGUGAUGUAAGGAAGCAUGAAGAUCAGGUGACAUGGGAAAUAGACUGGCUUUUGAUUCUGAAAACAUUAAUAAGCUAUACGUAAAUGCUUGGUGAUUCGGAUUUGGAGAGCUUUUCUCCCCCACUUUGGAAAGGACCAUCAAUUCAUUUAUGUGGUACAGAAGUGGGUUAACUUCACGGCCAUGGAAAAAAAAAGUGACAAUAUCUUUCACUGUUACUGGGCUGUGGCAAGAUUUCACAGCAAGCAGCUUCAAUGUAAUUCA